AUGAGAGGUGGGGUGGGGACAAACCUGAAGAAGCCAGCAACAGAAACCCUCACUAAGAUAUUAGCCACAGGAGGCGGGAGGAGUGGAGAUGGCGACAGAGGUGGCUGUGGAGCUUGCAGGGGCAGGGAGCCCACGGGAACUGCUGGGGUCGUUCUGGUGGUCCUGGGGGAGAUGGAGGGGGUAAAGGGGCAGCCACUCGACAUGGGCCCACACUACACGCAGCUGCAGUACAUCAGUGAGGGAGGGCGAGUAUGGCAUGGUCAGCUCAACUUAUGACCAUGUGAGCAAGACAAGAGUGGCUAUCAAAAGAUCAGCCCCUUUGAGCAUCAAACCUACUGUCAGCGCACGCUGAGGGGAAACCCAGAUCUUGCUGCAAUUUUGCCAUGAGAAUGUCAUAGGCAUCUGAGACAUCCUCAGAGCACCCACCCUGAAAGCCAUUGGAGACAUUUACAUUGUUCAGGACCUCAUGGAGACAGACCUGUGCAAACUGUUUAAGAGCCAGCCCCUGAGCAGUGACCACAUCUGCUACUUCCUCUACCAGAUCCUCUGGGGCCUCAAGUGCAUACACUCAGCCAAUGUGCUGCACUGGGACCUGAAGCCCGCCAAUCGGCUUAUCAACACCACCUGUGACCUUAAGAGCUGUGAUUUUGGCCUGGCCCAGAUUGCUGACCGUGAGCAUGACCACACUGGCUUUCUGACAGAGUAUGUGGCCACACGCUGGUCCUGAGCCCCAGAGAUCAUGCAUAACUCCAAGGGUACCCCGAAUCCAUUGACAUUGGCCUGUGGGCUGCAUUCUGGCUGAGAUGCUCUCUAGCUAGCCCAUCUUCCCAGGCAAGCACUACCUGGACCAGCUCAAUCACAUUCUAGGUAUCCUGGAUUCCCCAUUCCAGAAGGACCUUAAUUGUAUCAUUGAACUUUGCUCAACUCAGACCCCGGAAGCCCAGGCUGGACCAAGGGUGUGCCUGGCCACCUUCUCUUACUGUGCUGGGGUCUCCUGCUUUAAGCAGGCUUCUCCCACUCCAACCCCCUGCCCCAUCUCCCCAUAG